GUGGGGAAUAUUGGACAAUGGGCGAAAGCCUGAUCCAGCCAUGCCGCGUGUGUGAAGAAGGUCUUCGGAUUGUAAAGCACUUUAAGUUGGGAGGAAGGGCAGUAAGUUAAUACCUUGCUGUUUUGACGUUACCAACAGAAUAAGCACCGGCUAACUUCGUGCCAGCAGCCGCGGUAAUACGAAGGGUGCAAGCGUUAAUCGGAAUUACUGGGCGUAAAGCGCGCGUAGGUGGUUCAGUAAGUUGGAAGUGAAAUCCCCGGGCUCAACCUGGGAACUGCUUUCAAAACUGCUGAGCUAGAGUACGGUAGAGGGUGGUGGAAUUUCCUGUGUAGCGGUGAAAUGCGUAGAUAUAGGAAGGAACACCAGUGGCGAAGGCGACCACCUGGACUGAUACUGACACUGAGGUGCGAAAGCGUGGGGAGCAAACAGGAUUAGAUACCCGAGUAGUCC
rnacentral:rRNA from 1 species